AUAGACCAGUGUGUGAAGUAUCCAGAGAGUCAUUAUGCAAAUACUGAGAAGAGCAACUGGUACCAAAAAUCUGUCACCUUUCUGACCUAUGAAGACCCCCUGUGUUGCAAUAAAUCCCAAAUCAAAAUAUGCCCCAGCAAUGAAAACACAACUCAGUUAAUAUGAAUAUGCUGUACAGAUUGGUUAGAUCUGCUGCUACACUACCAUCUUCAACACCCUAUGAGACCCCUUAAAACUUGUAGUUUCUCGAGGCCAUGCGUUUUUGCUCACUUUUCUUCUUCCUCUUCAUCUGCAUCCUCUCUCUUUCCAUUUUCUCCUUCUUUUCUCUCCCUACCUUCCAAUCCAUCCACCUUUCCUUUUAUCUGCCCGAUCAUUAGAUCUCCUUAUUUUACAAAUUGAAUUGGGAAGCAGGUUAGAGGAAAUCACUUGAAUGCUGACUCAUUCCUUGAUCUCAGCCACUCAUAGGAGAACAAAAUUAACAUGAAAUAUAAUUAGCCCAGGGCUAUCCACAACAUAUUUGUGGUUAUUUAACUUCAGUGUCUUUGCUACUAGCAUCUUUGUGAAACAAGGAGACAUUUAAAGCCACUAAUUGAGUUCUCAGUUACAUUUUGCUCAUCACACUCAAAUUCUGUUUCCUAGGUUCUUUGAACUUCAUUGGUCAGCCCAACACAGGUCUUUCAGCAGACCACCUUUGCGGUUGCUUUCACUAUGGUUCUUACCAGUGUGUUGGCCAAAGCUAUUACUGUGAUACUUGCAUUUAAAGUCAGUUUUCAAGGGAGAAUGGUAGGAUGGCUAAUGAUGCCAAGAGGUCCAAACUACAUCAUUCCUAUCUACCCUGAUCCAACUUCUUCUUUGUGGAGUAUGGAUGCUAACAUCUCCACCAUUCAUUUACCAAGAUGCUCAUUCUGAACAUGGAUACAUCAUCACUUUUUUUCAAGAAGGGCUCAGCUGUUGCCUUCCAUUCUCUUUAAGGAUAACACUAUUUCUUGGGCUUUGGGAAUAAUAACAUGGCCAUCUUUUCUAAAAUUUGAUUGAUAUAUUCAGUGAAUCCAAAUAUCGGUCAUUCAGUAUGUUCUUGUUUCUAUGUGUCUUGGUCACCUUUCUUCCUGUCUACCACAGCACUAAAGGGAAGGUCAUGGUGGCUAUGGAAGUUUUCUCUAUCUUGAUUUUUGUCUUCAUAUUUGGUCCCAUGUGUUUCAUUUUCUUAUUGAGAUGAGACAAAAAUUCAUUUAAUCAUAUCAGGAAAAAAACUCAUUCUAGAAGGACUUUGAAAGCCUGAA
rnacentral:lncRNA from 1 species